AUGCCGCUCUGCAGCUUCUACGCCUCCACGUCCCUCCCGGUGCCGAAACCCCACUCCUUGCCCUCCUCCGCCGCGGCGGUCACCACCGUGCAGGCAAAGAAGUCGCCGCCGGCCGUGGCUGCGGCUGCGGCGGCGACCGUCCUGCCGACGACGGCCGAGAGCACAGCGUCGAUGAUGCCGGCGGAGGCGCUGUCGCUGCACCUGCCGGAGCUGCCGUCGGCGAUGCGGGACAAGAUCCUGAGCCUGGAGCUGAUGGGGGUGGACUACGGGCGCGCGCUGUCGCUGAACCCGGCGCUCCGGGACGCGGCGCCGGAGUCCAUCCACGCGGUGGUGACCUUCCUCCAGUCGCGCGGGCUCCACUUCAAGGACCUGGGCCGCGUCUUCGGCAUGUGCCCGUCCGUGCUCACCGCCAGCGUCCGCGCCGACCUCCGCCCCGUCUUCGCCUUCCUCACCGACGACCUCGGCGUGCCGGAGGCGGCCUACCGCCGCGUGGUCGUCAAGUGCCCGCGCGUGCUGGCCUGCAGCGUCCGCGACCAGCUCCGGCCGGCGCUCAUCUACCUCCGCCGCCUCGGCUUCCGGGACAACCGCGCGCUGGCGUUCCAGGACCCCAUCCUCCUCGUCUCCAGCGUGGAGCGCACCAUGGCGCCCAAGCUGGAGUACCUGGCCGGGCUGGGCAUGUCGCGGGACGACGCCGUGGCCAUGGCGCUCCGGUGCCCGGCCCUCUUCACCUUCAACGUGGAGAGGAACUACAGGCCCAAGUUCGAGUACCUGGUGGGGGAGAUGGGCGGCGGCGUGGAGGACGUCAAGGCCUUCCCGCAGUACUUCACCUUCAGCCUCGAGAAGCGGAUCGCGCCGCGGCACCGUGCCGCCGCCGACGCCGGCGUCGACCUGCCGCUGCCGGACAUGCUCAAGGCCACCGACGAGGAGUUCAGCGAGAUGCUCGAGAGGAGAAGGAGCAGAUGA
rnacentral:rRNA from 1 species